rfam:Bradyrhizobium erythrophlei strain GAS478 genome assembly, contig: Ga0132009_13
AAUUCUGCAGCGGUCCAAGUAACGGAUUUCUACUCCGUGGGUUGCAGGUUCGAAUCCUGCUGGGAUCA